UGACUUUAAAAUAUAUUCAGUCCUGUAUGAUCAUACAAAUAGGCGCGCGACAAAGCUGCAUUGACUCAAUUUCGAAAUUAUCAAGGUGAGCCAUUUGUCUGUAUUGGGUGGCCGAAACCGCGCUGAUGUGUGCCGGCGCAUUCUGAAGCAUUGCAUGUCAAAUGAGGUGGCCAACCAGUACAGCUGGCAUGGGAGGAAGAAAAAGGCAGUAUUUGGAAAACUUCCAUUGGCUGAUGCUGUGCAGAAAGCUGUCAUGCCGUCCUUGAAAUGCACAGCUGCAGAAGUUGAACAUGAGUGCAGGGAAUGGUUUAGAACAGCCUCUGACCGUGACGGUGGAAGAAAAAAGAGGACAGCCAAAAUAAGUGAUGAACCGUCCCAAUGAAUUUUAACUCGUGUGUGUUUUAACUUUUAAUUUAGUCUCCUGCUGCAAUUUGUUAUGAUGUAAAGGUCUCUUUGAACUUGAAAUUAAUGAUUUUACACAACUUUUCUUUUAAUAUGUAUACUGAUGGAAGCAGUGUAUAUUUUUUUUGUUUUUUUUUUGCCUUUAUUACCUAAAUAGCUGUAACUCUGUGUGUUACUUAGGUAAACGUAACUUUUCAAUAUAUUCUUGUUCUAAUUGUUUUCAUUUGUCAUUUUUGAAGAAAACAAGUUUCAUGUAGUUUGUAUUAAUAUUGAAGACAAUUUUCUUGUAAUAUUUUUUAUUCAAAACUUUCUAGAAAUGCCCAUAAUUUAUGUCUAAGUUCAGGGGACAUACAAGGUGUUUAUUUCUGAAAAUACUCAAUUAUAAAAAUCAAUUCCCUCAAUUCAUUUUGAAUUUGAUAAGUGACAGAACUCAAUUAUUUUUAUUUUCAAGUGAUCAUUUCCUGGUGAAAACAACAAAUAAUUUUAAU